CCGGGCCCGGAGCCGGCCUCGCUCCUCAGGCCGCGACAAGCUCCCGAGCCCGCCGGGGAAAUAAACUCUAACAGAGCCUUUUUAAACCCUCCGGGGUCGAUAAACCCUCUGACACCUUUUAGUGCCAGUGAGGAAGGUGUUGAUUUGUUUUUGCUCAAGAGGUGUGUGUGUGUCUGUGUGGCCGACAAAAUUUUCCGGCCUCCCCACAAGGUAUUUGCAGCUGCCUGUGCUCGAGCAAGCUCCAUAUCUCUGCACGGCUCCCUUCUGCCUCCUGUGAAAGUGAUAAUAUCACUUCUCUGCCUCCCAAGACUGCUAGGAACUGAAGCUCUGGGCUCCUCCGAGGAAGCAUAAAAGCUGAACAUGUGAGAUGAGUACUCCAAAAACCUCAUGGGAUCUACACCACAUUCCUGAAACCUCAUCUGCAGGCUGGUUAAUCCACGCUUGUCCCUGACCUGUCUGGGACCCUCCGUGCUGCUCAGACUCCCUGCCCCUCACCUGCUGGCCGCACUUUGAUCCCGUGGUAGGUCUGCAGCAUUGUCACGCCGUUCUCCACCCUGACACUGAGGCAAUACUGCCCCGCGUCCCUGAAGGUGUGGCUGAGGUUGUAGCAGGAGCCACUGAUCUCCACCAGAUGGCAUUUGUCACCUUCAAGUGGAAUGCACUCGGAUUUUAUAAGCCAGCAUAAUGCCAGUGGUGGGCUGAAACGACAAGAGCAAAAAGACAAAAAAGACAAAAAAAAAAAAAAGUGAAAACUCUGCACAAAAUUUCAGCAAAGAGCUUGGUUAAAAUAGCAGAAUAAUUUUGAAACUAAUGAAGUUAACUUAAAUACAAAUAAAGAAAUAACCAACUGCACUGUUUUUGGUUUAUAGCACAUGCCAAAUGAAAAAGUUCUUUGUGAUGCUUCUAUAAAGGCAGGUCUUUCAGCUGAGAGCUGAAUACCUGCAAGGGUCAUCAGUGGGCCCCUGUGUGUAGAAAACUCCAUAGUCCUUCCAAUAAAGUCCUAUCCAAUAAAGAUAAAAAGAAUCUUUUUUCCUGCACUUCCAAUGGAAGAUAGUUUUUUCUUUGUCCUUCUCACACAGAGAUCACUGUCUGUACCACUGAAGCACACCCAAGACUGUUUUAAUUAAAACACCCUACACAUGAACCUGGAAAGAAUACAAGAUGAGCUCUGUGCAAAGGACUAGUAGCUGGAAAAUAUGAACAUCUGCAUCAGAGCCAUCCUGAAUACUCAUUAAAGCAAACAAAGUAACCACACCUACCCAUCUCCAAAAUCCCAGUUGUAGACAAAUGAUGCUGACUUGAAGUAAUGACUUGGGUCAUGAAGAGAGAAAGAAAUCCGGGUCACUGUGUCACUGGAGGAGCUAGAACCAUGUGUGGUAACUCUGCUGUCUUCUAUCUGGGCUAUGGUGAGGUUCCCUGUGAUAAAUUCUGAAGAAUAAAAGAGGGGAAGGAAGAAUGACAACAUAUGUGACAGAAGAAUGACAGCAUGUAUGACAGCAUAUGUGACAGAAGAAUGACAGCAUGCUUCUACAGUAUGCUCUGUGUAUCAAAACAUUCUUUCAGAUGUACUGGGUAAGUCUUGCUGUGUCCCAGUCCAAGUGGUUAAGUGUAUUUUACAUCUGUUACUCAGUGUUGUCAUGCGUGUGAAUGAGGCAGUGAAAUUAAAAUAUUUAUUGAGGGUUAUACAAUGGGUCAUGAUAAAAUGUAAUAGAACUAAGAGAAAUAAUCCUGGACUGAUUGAGCUCAAUAUAAACUUUUACUAUUUAUUUUAAAAUAACUGGUAUCAAUAUCAAGCAUCUAGUUUUAGAGUCAGGUACACAUGCUCAUCAUGUCUGGGAUGGUGGGUUUUGUUUGUUUUGUGGGGAUUUUAAUGUAGCUUUUUUCCCCCCCUUAGUUUUAGUUGUUUCUACAGAAAUUAAGAUUUGACUACCGUGAAUAACAGAUGUGCUAUAUAUUGUGAAUACAGAAAGGGGGGAUGUUUUUGUCAGUGAGAUGUUCUUUGUUGGACAAUGAGUGGCAAGGACUGAUCUAAAAAAAUCCUCUCUAACCUAUGAACAAAGAGAUAUGAUGAGACACCAGCUCAUUAUAAAAUUAAUGGGCUGUUGAUUACCAGUAACAGACUCUUAUCCUGUUAACAAUUCAUUAAAUCUGGUUAACAUUUUUUUUAGUGAUGCACAAAUAAUAAUUGCAGUUACUGUUGGAAUAGGGCUGUCAAUCCCUGUAUCAGAGAUUUGGUUAACCAGUGCACACCAGUUGUUAAUUUUAUGGUUAUGAAUAUUCCCAAAAAACUGAAGUUGCACUUAGCAACAUUUAGAAAUGCAGCCAUGAUUCAGAUCCAAUUUCAGUACACUCAGACAGACCUUUAAAAGAAAAUGUAAUGCUCUGCUGUGCUGGUGGCCUAAGAUUUGCUGUGUCAUGCAACAGGGAAAAGCAGCAGAUUGGCACUGCUGAUGGUCAUCCUAACUUUAGGUCUAGAAAUGCUGGGAGGCAGUGGAAGAAGCAUUGUUCUAGGAGUUUGGACACCACUGACCUAUGCUGAUGUAUGGACUGCAGCUGCUGAAGCAUCUGGUUUCCAGUACAGUUUCUCUAAGUGACAGAGGUAGGAAAACAUGGGCAGCACCACACUUCCCUCCUGGGUGUAGAGAGACUAGAACCUGGCUGUAAAGUAGUGAUUGCACCAUGCUCCCAAACCCACCUUCAGCCACAGGGCUACAAAUCAAACUCUGUUGUCAGCAGCCAUAUUUGCACUGGUUUUCUCCCUGAUGCUGCAGGGGCAUAUAUACUGAGUUCCUGGAGAGGCACAGGUUUUAAAGCCAUUUUACCCAUUUUACCUGUAAUCUGGAGCACAGUGAUGUUUCUUGCAAUCGGCCGACACAACCAACAGUUUUUGUGAGUCACCCAGACAGACACAGGGAAAGUGCCAGGGAAUUCACCAGUCACAUUAAUUAUGGAAUUAAACUGCUGCUCGGAUUUCUCUAUCAGAAUCAGAGGAGCAUAGACCCAGUUGAAGUGAUACCAGUUUGAUGUGACAUUUUCGUUCUUCAUUCUUAGCCUGGCUUGAACAGUAGCUUGAGCUCCCGUUGUGAUGGGACCAUUGUUGGUUAUUUCCAGACUGUACAACUCUGUAGAAAGCAGAAGAAAAUGAGUUGACCAAACCUUGCUGUAUGGCAUUUUAAAUUUCAUUUAGUUAUUUAUACACUUGAACUAGUCAGCUCUAGUUAUAUAACUUACAAUGACACCUAUCCCAGCAAAGAAUUUACCACCAUAAUUUUUAUUGUUUAAAUAUUUGGAACAGAAACUGUUUUAUGUGUAUAUGAGUUGAAAUAAAUAGCAAUAAACAACA